rnacentral:rRNA from 1 species
UGGGGGAUAUUGCACAAUGGGGGAAACCCUGAUGCAGCGACGCCGCGUGUAGGAAGAAGGCUUUCGGGUUGUAAACUUCUUUUAGCAGGGACGAAAAAAAUGACGGUACCUGCAGAAUAAGCUCCGGCUAACUACGUGCCAGCAGCCGCGGUAAUACGUAGGGAGCGAGCGUUGUCCGGAAUCAUUGGGCGUAAAGCGUUCGUAGGCGGUAUGUCAAGUCUGGUGUUAAAGCCCGAGGCUCAACCUCGGUUCGGCAUUGGAUACUGGCAAACUAGAAUGUGGUAGAGGUAAAGGGAAUUCCUGGUGUAGCGGUGAAAUGCGUAGAUAUCAGGAGGAACAUCGGUGGCGAAAGCGCUUUACUGGACCAUUAUUGACGCUGAGGAACGAAAGCCAGGGGAGCAAAUG